CAAAACGCAAAUGGAAGAGUCAGCGCUCGGUGCGUGUGUAAGUCGGGAACGAAUCAUAACGGAGGAGCAGGCCUGCGAUUUCUAGGUUAUCAAAAUGAACACCUCCACCUUGCCCUGGGGACCCCUGCCCUGAAGUCGAGUGCGCGUGAAGGGAAGGGACAGUGGACGGGAUCUCAUCCUCAUCUACUCUGCUCAAAAUAGACAUGUCCUUGAAAAGCGGUUUCUCAAGCCAAACGAUCAGCACAGGACGACCUCAGACUCGAAGUACGGGUUUCCAGGGAUGGGCUUCUCUGCUUCUUCAUCUUCUUAUCAGGUGGAGAAUGACGAACAUAUGUGUUCAAUCUCCACAGAAGUUUCAGUGUAAAGAAAAAUGUCAUCAGCUCUUUUUGAAAAAGGGAGAAACCUUUUAACAGUGAAAGCUUUGUUUUCUUUUUCCAUUUUAUGUUUUCUAAAAUUUUCUUCAUAAAAUGUUAGGGCCGAAUGCUCUCAGGUUUCAAGCUUUAAACUUUUCUAGGGCUAGAGAUUUUUCAAACUGGGGUGAAGCAUCUCUGGGUGUAAAAGAAAUUGCAAGGUAGACCUAGAACCUCUCCCCACUCCACCAAAGUUAUUAAAAUUUUUUUCUCGAAAAUUGGAAAUUUAAAAGUUUUUUAUACAGGAAUAAACUUGGAACACAGAAUGUGGGUUUUAAUGAUAUAAGGGUUCAAAGAAAUGUCACCUAGGCUGCAGAGCUGGGUUCCAACGACACAUCAGUGCCCUUGGCCAUCGGGGUUGGAGAAGACAGGAAUUUUGAUUACAGAAGAGGGGACCCAGGUCCCAACCAGGGAACGGACAUGGCGUCCGCUUGCCCUUGGUCUGGGCGACUGAUUUCUGUGACUCGUCCUCUGGGUGCAGGGCCCAGCCUCCCUUGGGCCUCUCCCUUCAGGGCCCACCGGGUAGGAAGCGUUCUUAGCUCAGGAGGUCCUCAGCUUCGAUUCGGCAGCGUUGCUAUUACUGAGGCGUGCCGGUAAGGUUCAUACUUCAAGUCUAGGUUUUUCCUGGCUUAGAGUAGAUGCCUGAGAGGUCCUUUUUUGGCUUUCCAAUAAUGAUUCGAUCCUCCAACAAUGGGAAGCCAUCCAGCGCGACCUCAAAUUAGAGAGAAUGUAAACUCCACGAGGGCACAGGAUUUGUUCACUGCCGAAUCCUCAGGGGCCAGAGGAAAGAUCGAUGCUGGUUGCAUGAAUGAAUAAGCACACGUAGAGUUACGUGUGGUUCUAUCUGCAGCAUGCGCUCCUCCAGGCUUUUCGAAGUGCUCCGUGGAAAACAGCACAUUGUCUUCAUUUCUGCCUCUGUGGUCUCAGGCAGGGUGCGGUGAUGUGGCACACAGUGAGUUAGAAGGGCAGGACUCCACGGGACACAGGAUUGGAUGACCAGUUAUAAUCGACGACAGUUACCUUCGUUCUGAAUUUCUCUGGAAACCGAUGGCGCUUCCACUGAGCAGGACCCGGUCGCAGCUGGCGCCUUGGAACUGCCGUGUGUCAGAAUUCAUGACGCUGACCGAACAGGGUCAGAGCACUGAGGAGGGGCCCCUCGAGCUCCUGCAGAGCCGCGGUCCCUACAGCUCCCGCCCCCUUCUCCACCGGUGCCAAGUAGCACCGUCUGCGUGUGGCAGGCAAAGAACGAAGAAGAAGUCAGGCCUCUUGAAACCAGCGAACCACCUGUCUCGCUAUCGAUAAAUACGACGCUGGCUUCCAUGGUUCCUGAUGGCUUUGAACUGAGUAGAUGAUCCAUCCGCAAGGAAUAUGUUCUAAAAGAUCCGGGACUGGUGGAAAUGAGCUCUGGGGGAAUAGGAAGGAUGCUAGAUCCCUCUGUCCCCAUGCACCUGGCAAUGAACCUGGCUUUACCGUGAGCA